GACGAACGCUGGCGGCGUGCUUAACACAUGCAAGUCGAACGGAAAGGCCCUGCACUUGUGGGGUGCGCGAGUGGCGAACGGGUGAGUAACACGUGAGUAACCUGCCCUUGACUGUGGGAUAACUUCAGGAAACUGGGGCUAAUACCGGAUAGGAGCUCCUGAUGCAUGGGGGGGGAUGGAAAGUUUCGGCGGUUGGGGAUGGACUCGCGGCUUAUCCGCUUGUUGGUGGGGUAGUGGCUUACCGAGGCUUUGACGGGUAGCCGGCCUGAGAGGGUGACCGGCCACAUUGGGCCUGGGGUACGGCCCGGACUCCUACGGGAGGCAGCAGUGGGGGAUAUUGCGCGAUGGGCGGCAGCCUGAUGCAGCAACGCCGCGUCCGGGAUGACGGCCUUCGGGUUGUAACCCGCUUUCGCCUGUGACGAUGCGUGAGUGACGGUAAUUGGUAAAGAAGCACCGGCUAACUACGUG
rnacentral:rRNA from 1 species